UACGUAGGGUGCGAGCGUUAAUCGGAAUUACUGGGCGUAAAGCGUGCGCAGGCGGUGAUGUAAGACAGUUGUGAAAUCCCCGGGCUCAACCUGGGAACUGCAUCUGUGACUGCAUUGCUGGAGUGCGGCAGAGGGGGAUGGAAUUCCGCGUGUAGCAGUGAAAUGCGUAGAUAUGCGGAGGAACACCGAUGGCGAAGGCAAUCCCCUGGGCCUGCACUGACGCUCAUGCACGAAAGCGCGGGGAGCAAACAGG
rnacentral:rRNA from 1 species